AGCGAGGUUUGUGGAGACUUUGAGCUAUAAGGAGCAUAUGAUCCUGUGCAGGUUUGCAGACCAGACGGCUGUCAGUUUACCCCCAGAACGACGAUUAAUCGGGAAGCGCUGUAUGGGACUGGUGGACUUGGACCGCAGUUGGGCCGCCGAGAAUCAUGGGUAUUCAGUGAGGGUGAUGACCAUGGUCCCCGAGGGCUGCUCGCCUAAGAACAAUAUGCUGGUGGGGAAACCGAUAAGAUAACACUGACUCACGACAAAUACCCGCGCCAUGUCAGGACUAUCAAUACCUCCGUGUUUUCUUUCAUGUUACCUUGAACAUUUUAUAUUUGUAAGAAGAGAUAGCUCACCCAAAUAUUACAAUUUGUGCAUCAUUCCGACCUCAUUUAUAGUCACUGUUUUCAAUACAGCAAAAGUGGAUGUUGAUUUAAACUAACACUAAAAUGCUUCCUAUGAGAAAAGUAUAAAGCGCGCUUUGAACAUGGUGCUUUUUGUACCAUCUUUCCUUUAAUGCAGAAGCUCUGAGAUUUUUACAUACGACAGAAGAAACUAUGUAAUGCCACCAUUGAAUCACAUUGGUAUUACGACAAGAUUUUAAUAAUUGGGGGAACUAUUCUUUUGAUGUGCGCAGGCACACUUGAUUCGUGCUUGGAUGUAAUUACGCAAUUGGUAUAUUCGUUUUUUUUAUUUCAGAUUUUUUAAAGACUUGACUUCAUGUAAACAAUUAGAGUGCUUUUUUAUUUCAGCAGCGUCUUUCACAAAUCUGUACUUUCUUGCUGGAGUUGCGUGCCCAGGGAUUGUUCGUGAAAGAAAACAAAACAAAAA